rnacentral:tRNA from 1 species
GAGCUGUACCCUCGUUUACGGGGGGGAAACCCCCUCCCCCCAGGG